rnacentral:tRNA from 1 species
GCCGGCGUAGCCCAACUGGCAGGAGGCCUCCGACCUAGGAUCGGAACAGUGCGGGUUCGAAUCCCGCCGCCGGCA